AUGCUUGUUAUCCUAAAUUAAAAUGGUAUCCUCUGAGCAUGUGUUUGCUUGCAUAUCUUCCUUUCUUCAGUUCCAAUGGCUUUCUAAGUCGAUGAACCCAAAAGAAUUAAAGGCUGACAUAGUUGCCAAGAAACAGAUGGAAAUAAGUCACCGAUAUUGGGGGUAGGUGGAAAAUGGCCUAGACCUGCAUAUAAAUAAGGCAUGGGCGGCUUGAAUCUGAUAUUUAAAAAUAUGCACGUGAUGACCGAGAGUUUCUCCAAACUAAAAUGUUGCUCUCUCUAUAUCUCUGGAAAAAUAAAU
rnacentral:misc_RNA from 1 species